rnacentral:misc_RNA from 1 species
GUUAACUGCCAUUGCCAUCUUUGAAGCUGUGGUGAGAUCCAAGCACUAAUGAGAUGAUGAUGAUGACGAACUUUGAUUUUCAAAGAAAAUCAGAAACUGGAGGACUGUGGCAGAAUCGUAUUAGCGUUUGAUGUGGGAUUCACAUCAUAAAAAACAUGGCUUUCCAACAUCAAACUAUUGUUGCAGGCAGAGCAUGGAGAUGCGUUUUUU